GGAAGCUUGGACUGCAGACUUGAAGCCCAGAACCAGGGACUCAUAUUACAUUUACACAAGCCACUUGUUUGGGUGGUUGACUGUAAACUGAACCCUGGAAAGUGGCCUGGGUGCGGAAUGGUCAGGCACUGCUGAUGCCUCAAAGGACAGGCAGAAACAAGAGACACAUGGAGGACCAUCCCUUGGAGCUUCUAAUGUUUAUUCUGUCGGCUACAAAGCCUGCUGUCUUUGAAUGUAAUGUAUCGUCUUCUACAAACAGGAUGCCAAGGAUCUCACUGGUGAUGCUGGAUUUAAAGAUCGGGUGCCUUGGUGCAGCUGCUGUGACUGGAGACCUUGUUCAACUAGAAGCCCAAGAGUAGGCUGGAGAAACAGAGCAUUACCUUUUGCAUGUGUGAGGCAACAAUAAACACCCCUGGAAUGCUGUUCCUCA
rnacentral:lncRNA from 1 species